AGUGAACGCUGGCGGUAGGCCUAACACAUGCAAGUCGAACGGCAGCACAGUAAGAGCUUGCUCUUACGGGUGGCGAGUGGCGGACGGGCGAGGAAUACAACGGACUCUACUUUUUCGUGGGGGUUAACGUAGGGAAACUUACGCUAAUACCGCAUACGACCUACGGGUGAAAGCAGGGGAUCUUUGGACCUUGCGCGGUUGAAUGAGCCGAUGUCGGAUUUGCUAGUUGGCGGGGUAAAUGCCCAGCAGGGGGACGAUCCGUAGCUGGUCUGAGAGGAGGGUCAGCCGCACGGGAACUUAGACACGGUCCAUGCUCCUACGGGAGGCAGCAGUGGGGAAUAUUGGACAAUGGGCGCAAGCCUGAUCCAGUCAUACCGCGUGGGUUAAGGAGACGUUGGGGUUGUAAAGCCCUUUUGUUGGGAAAGAAAAGCAGCAGGUUAAGACCCCGCUGUUCUGACGGUACCCAAAGAAUAAGCACCGGCUAACUUCGUG
rnacentral:rRNA from 1 species